rnacentral:tRNA from 1 species
GGAGAGGUGUCCGAGUGGUUGAAGGAGCACGCUUGGAAAGCGUGUGUAUCUUAAAGGUACCCAGGGUUCGAAUCCCUGUCUCUCCG